AGUUUGAUUGCCAGAAGUUUUCCCACCAUGUACUGGGUUUCUUUUCUCACUCUGGUUGCAAUAUGCUGCCCAAGUUACAGCGACCAGCGUCAGCUGACUCAGCCUUCAUCUCUGGCAGCUUCGCCUGGGGAUACUGUUAAACUUACCUGUACUAUGGGGGGAGGAAACAUGCGUGAUAUUCACUGGUUCCAGCAGAAACCUGGAAAAGCUCCACGAUUCCUUUUAUACUACUACUCAGAGUCAAUCAAAGGGAAGGGUGAAGGUGUUCCUGAACGAUUCUCUACAACCAAAGAUGCUUCUGCAACAAAUUCUGUUUUAACCAUCUCCACGGUGCAGCCAGAGGAUGAUGCUGAUUAUUACUGUGCAAACUGGGAUAGCAACUACACUCCUGUAUACACAGUGAUACAGUCACAUGGGGAACUGAAACCAAUACUCUCUGCAUCACCAAGUCUGUCUCAAUGGCUGUAUAAAGUAAAUAUUCACAGAAAACUGGGCUGGCAUUGUGAGCUUGGAAAAUGUUGUGAAGCAGGGAAGAUAGGACUGAUUAAGCAGACCCACCUAAGGUGA